rnacentral:rRNA from 1 species
CCUACGGGAGGCUGCAGUGGGGAAUAUUGCACAAUGGGGGAAACCCUGAUGCAGCGACGCCGCGUGCGUGAAGAAGUAAUUCGUUAUGUAAAACUCUAUCAGCAGGGAAGAAAAUGACGGUACCUGAGUAAGAAGCCCCGGCUAACUACGUGCACGCAGCCGCGGUAAUACGGAGGGGGCAAGCGUUAUACGGAUUUACUGGGUGUAAAGGGAGCGUAGGCGGUAGUGCAAGUCUGGAGGGAAAGGCGGGGGCUCAACCCCCGGACUGCUCUGGAAACUGGAGGGCUGGAGUGCGGGCGAGGUAAGUGGAAUUCAUGGUGUAGCGGUGAAAUGCGUAGAUAUUAGGAGGAACACCAGUUGCGAAGGCAGCUUACUGGACUGUAACUGACGUUGAGGCUCGAAAGCGUGGGGAGCAAACAGGAUUAGAUACCCCGGUAGUC